rnacentral:rRNA from 1 species
AGCGAACGCUGGCGGCAGGCCUAACACAUGCAAGUCGAACGAACUCUUCGGAGUUAGUGGCGGACGGGUGAGUAACACGUGGGAACGUGCCUUUUGGUUCGGAAUAACUCAGGGAAACUUGUGCUAAUACCGAAUGUGCCCUUCGGGGGAAAGAUUUAUCGCCAUUAGAGCGGCCCGCGUCUGAUUAGCUAGUUGGUGAGGUAACGGCUCACCAAGGCGACGAUCAGUAGCUGGUCUGAGAGGAUGACCAGCCACACUGGGACUGAGACACGGCCCAGACUCCUACGGGAGGCAGCAGUGGGGAAUCUUGCGCAAUGGGCGAACGCCUGACGCAGCCAUGCCGCGUGAAUGAUGAAGGUCUUAGGAUUGUAAAAUUCUUUCACCGGGGACGAUAAUGACGGUACCCGGAGAAGAAGCCCCGGCUAACUUCGUG